GGCCUGGCGCCCCCGGGCGGGACGGCGGCCGCGGCAGCCGGCGUUUGAGAGUCCAGCUUCCGGGUCUCGGGCUGCCAGGGCCCAGGCCCUUCUCAGCCGGCGCUACGGGGAAAUGAGGCUCUGAGGGUCUGUCUCGUGGCGAGGCCGCCCCGCAGCCCCGGACCCACUUGGAGCCCGCAGGUCUGGCUGCACCCCCGCCCUGUGGCCUUUUCCCGAAGACUGCUUUCCUAGAGAGACUAUUAAGUGUUGCUUCCUACAGCGCAGGAACUUAACUAGUGGCCUUCAAACAUUUCGCAUACCUACGGGAACUACUUCGUGGCCCGGUCCCUACCAUGCUAGCACUCGGGAGGCUGAAGCAUGAGGAUCGCCUUCAGUUCAAGGCUGGCCUAGGCUACAUAGCGCAAGCCCAGCCUGAACUACACAGCAAGACUAUCUCCCCGCUGCAAAAAAAAUCAUGAUCCAGCACGAACCUGAAUGCAAACUCCACAAGAGCAGAGGUUUUUGUCCUGUUCCUGGCACAUAGAGGUGAUUCCAACUUGCUGGCCUUUUGUUUCCCCUUCGUCAUCUGUAAAGUGGAGAUAACUGUACCCACAUUCUAGAGUUGUGAUGAGGAUUAAUUAUGCAU